GCUACAGUUGUUGUAGCAGGAGCUGCAGAUGUGAUUGUUGUAGUAAGAACAGCAGGUGUAGUGAUAGUAGGAGCUACAGUUGUAGGAACUGCAUGUGUUGUAGUAGGUGCUGUUGAAGUGGUUGUCGUAGGAUCUAAAGUUGUAGUUGUUGUAGUAGGAGCUGCACUGGUUGUCGUAGUAGCUGAAGUUGUAGUUGUUGUAGUAAGAGCUGCACUGGCUGUCGUAGUAGGUUGUGGAGUUACAGUGGUCGUAGGAGCAGCAGUUGUUGUAGUUAGGGCUGCAGUGGUUGUCCUAGAUGCUAAAGCUGUUGUAGGAGCUGCAGUUAUCGAAGGAGCUACAGUUGUUGGAGGUGCUGUGGUUGUGGGUGUCGUAGGAGCUGAAGUUGUAGUUAUUGUAGCAGGUGCUGCAGUCACUGUGGAUGUUAGAACAGCAGUUGUUGUAGUAGGAGCUGCACUGGUUGUCGUAGUAGGUUGUGGAGUUACAGUGGUCGUAGGAGUAGCAGUUGUUGAGGGUGCAGUUGUUGUGGUUGUCGUAGGAGCUGAAGUUGUUGUAGUUGUUGUAGCAGGAGCUCUAGUGGUUGUCGUAAUAGGUUCUGGAGCUGUAGUGGUCGUAGGAGCAGCAAUUGUUGUUGUUAGGGCUGCAGUGGAUGUCGAAGAUGCUAAAGCUGUUGUAGGAGCUGCAGUUGUCGUGGGAGCUACAGUUGUUGGAGGUGCUGUUGUUGUGGUUGUCGUAGGAGCUAAAGUUGUAGUUAUUGUAGAAGGUGCUGCAGUCACCGUUGUUGUUAGAACAGCAGUUGUUGUAGUAGGAGCUGCACUGGUUGUCGUAAUAGGUUGUGGAGUUACAGUGGUCGUAGGAGCAGCAGUUGUUGUAGUUAGGGCUGCAGUGGUUGUUGUAGAUGCUAAAGCUGUUGUAGGAGCUGCAGUUGUCGUGGGAGCUACAGUUGUUGGAGGUGCUGUUGUUGUGCUUGUCGUAGGAGCUGAAGUUGUAGUUGUUGUAGUUAGAGCUGCAGUGGUUGUCGUAGAGGCAGCUGCUGUGGUUGACAUAGAAGUUACAGUUGUUGUAUCAGGAUCUGUANNNNNNNNNNCUGCAGUGGAUGUCGAAGAUGCUAAAGCUGUUGUAGGAGCUGCAGUUGUCGUGGGAGCUACAGUUGUUGGAGGUGCUGUUGUUGUGGUUGUCGUAGGAGCUAAAGUUGUAGUUAUUGUAGAAGGUGCUGCAGUCACCGUUGUUGUUAGAACAGCAGUUGUUGUAGUAGGAGCUGCACUGGUUGUCGUAAUAGGUUGUGGAGUUACAGUGGUCGUAGGAGCAGCAGUUGUUGUAGUUAGGGCUGCAGUGGUUGUUGUAGAUGCUAAAGCUGUUGUAGGAGCUGCAGUUGUCGUGGGAGCUACAGUUGUUGGAGGUGCUGUUGUUGUGCUUGUCGUAGGAGCUGAAGUUGUAGUUGUUGUAGUUAGAGCUGCAGUGGUUGUCGUAGAGGCAGCUGCUGUGGUUGACAUAGAAGUUACAGUUGUUGUAUCAGGAUCUGUAGUUGUGAUUGUUGUAGUAAGUACAGCAGGUGGAGUGGUUGUGGGAGCUACAGUUGUAGGAACUGCAGGUGUUGUAGUAGGUGCUGCUGUUGUGGUUGUCGUAGGAGCAGCAGUUGUUGUUGCUAGGGCUGCAGUGGUUGUCGUAGAUGCUAAAGCUGUUGUAGGAGCUGCAGUUAUCGUGGGAGCUACAGUUGUUGGAGGUGCUGUUGUUGUGCUUGUCGUAGGAGCUGAAGUUGUAGUUGUUGUAGUAAGAGCUGCACUGGCUGUCGUAGUAGGUUGUGGAGUUACAGUGGUCGUAGGAGCAGCAGUUGUUGUAGUUAGGGCUGCAGUGGUUGUCGUAGAUGCUAAAGCUGUUGUAGGAGCUGCAGUUAUCGUAGGAGCUACAGUUGUUGGAGGUGCUGUGGUUGUGGUUGUCGUAGGAGCUGAAGUUGCAGUUAUUGUAGCAGGUGCUGCAGUCACUGUGGAUGUUAGAACAGCAGUUGUUGUAGUAGGAGCUGCACUGGUUGUCGUAGUAGGUUGUGGAGUUACAGUGGUCAUAGGAGUAGCAGUUGUUGGAGGUGCAGUUGUUGUGGUUGUCGUAAGAGCUGAAGAUGUUGUAGUUGUUGUAGAAGGAGCUGCAGUGGUUGUCGUAAUAGGUUCUGGAGCUGUAGUGGUCGUAGGAGCAGCAAUUGUUGUUGUUAGGGCUGCAGUGGUUGUCGUAGAUGCUAAAGCUUUUGUAGGAGCUGCAGUUGUCGUGGGAGCUACAGUUGUUGGAGGUGCUGUUGUUGUGGUUGUCGUAGGAGCUAAAGUUGUAGUUAUUGUAGAAGGUGCUGCAGUCACCGUUGUUGUUAGAACAGCAGUUGUUGUAGUAGGAGCUGCACUGGUUGUCGUAGUAGGUUGUGGAGUUACAGUGGUCGUAGGAGCAGCAGUUGUUGUAGUUAGGGCUGCAGUGGUUGUUGUAGAUGCUAAAGCUGUUGUAGGAGCUGCAGUUAUCGUGGGAGCUACAGUUGUUGUAGGUGCUGUUGUUGUGGUUGUCGUAGGNNNNNNNNNNNNNNNNNNNNNNNNNNNNNNNNNNNNNNNNNNNNNNNNUGUAGGAGCUGCAGUUGUCGUGGGAGCUACAGUUGUUGGAGGUGCUGUUGUUGUGGUUGUCGUAGGAGCUAAAGUUGUAGUUAUUGUAGAAGGUGCUGCAGUCACCGUUGUUGUUAGAACAGCAGUUGUUGUAGUAGGAGCUGCACUGGUUGUCGUAGUAGGUUGUGGAGUUACAGUGGUCGUAGGAGCAGCAGUUGUUGUAGUUAGGGCUGCAGUGGUUGUUGUAGAUGCUAAAGCUGUUGUAGGAGCUGCAGUUAUCGUGGGAGCUACAGUUGUUGUAGGUGCUGUUGUUGUGGUUGUCGUAGGAGCUGAAGUUGUAGUUGUUGUAGUUGUUGUAGCAGAAGCUGCAGUGGUUGUCGUAAUAGGUUCUAGAGCUGUAGUGGUCGUAGGAGCAGCAGUUGUUGUUGUUUGGGCUGCAGUGGUUGUCGUAGAUGCUAAAGCUGUUGUAGGAGCUGCAGUUGUCGUGGGAGCUACAGUUGUUGGAGGUGCUGUUGUUGUGGUUGUCGUAGGAGCUGAAGUUGUAGUUGUUGUAGCAGGAGUUGCAGUUGGUGUCGUAAUAGGUUCUGGAGCUGUAGUGGUCGUAGGAGCAGCAGUUGUUGUUGUUAGGGCUGCAGUGAUUGUCGUAGAUGCUAAAGCUAUUGUAGGAGCUGCAGUUUUCGUGGGAGCUACAGUUGUUGGAGGUGCUGUUGUUGUGGUUGUCGUAGGAGCUGAAGUUGUAGUUGUUGUAGCAGGAGCUGCAGUGGUUGUCGUAAUAGGUUCUGGAGCUGUAGUGGUCGUAGGAGCAGCAGUUGUUGUUAUUAGGGCUGCAGUGGUUGUCGUAGAUGCUAAAGCUGUUGUAGGAGCUGCAGUUAUCGUGGGAGCUACAGUUGUUGGAGGUGCUGUUGUUGUGGUUGUCUUAGGUGCUGAAGUUGUAGUUAUUGUAGAAGGUGCUGCAGUCACUGUGGUCGUUAGAACAGCAGUUGUUGUAGUAAGAGCUGCACUGGUUGUCGUAGCAGGUCGUGGAGUUACAGUGGUCGUUGGAGCAGCAGUUGAUGUAGUUAGGUCUGCAGUGGUUGAAGUAGAUGCUAAAGCUGUCGUGGGAGCUACAGUUGUUGGAGGUGCUGUUGUUGUGGAUGUCGUAGGAGCUGAAGUUGUAGUUGUUGUAGAAGGAGCUGCAGUCGUUGUCGUAAUAGAUUCUAGAGUUGUUGUGGUCGUUGGAGCAGCUAUUGUUGUAGUUAGAGCUGCUGUGGUUGUCGUAGAGGCAGCUGCUGUGGUUGACGUAGAAGUUACAGUUGUUGUAUCAGGAGCUGUAGUUGUGAUUGUUGUAGUAAGUACAGCAGGUGGAGUGGUCGUGGGAGCUACAGUUGUAGGAACUGCAGGUGUUGUAGUAGUUGCUGUUGUUGUGGUUGUCGUAGGAGCUGAAGUUGUAGUUGUUGUAGCAGGAGCUGCAGUGGGUGUCGUAAUAGGUUCUGGAGCUGUAGUGGUCGUAGGAGCAGCAGUUGUUGUUGCUAGGGCUGCAGUGGUUGUCGUAGAUGCUAAAGCUGUUGUAGGAGCUGCAGUUGUCGUGGGAGCUACAGUUGUUGGAGGUGCUGUUGUUGUGGUUGUCGUAGGAGCUGAAGUUGUAGUUGUUUUAGCAGGAGCUGCAGUGGAUGUCGUAAUAGGUUCUGGAGCUGUAGUGGUCGUAGGAGCAGCAGUUGUUGUUAUUAGGGCUGCAGUGGUUGUCGUAGAUUCUAAAGCUGUUGUAGGAGCUGCAGUUAUCGUGGGAGCUAAAGUUGUUGGAGGUGCUGUUGUUGUGGUUGUCGUCGGUGCUGAAGUUGUAGUUAUUGUAGAAGGUGCUGCAGUCACUGUGGUCGUUAGAACAGCAGUUGUUGUAUUAAGAGCAGCACUGGAUGUCGUAGUAGGUCGUGGAGUUACAGUGGUCGUAAGAGCAGCAGUUGAUGUAGUUAGGUCUGCAGUGGUUGAAGUAGAUGCUAAAGCUGUUGUAGGAGCUGCAGUUACCGUGGGAGCUACAGUUGUUGGAGGUGCUGUUGUUGUGGAUGUCGUAGGAGCUAAAGUUGUAGUUGUUGUAGCAGGAGCUGCAGUGGUUGUCGUAAUAGGUUCCAGAGUUGUUGUGGUCGUUGGAGCAGCUAUUGUUGUAGUUAGAGCUGCUGUGGUUGUCGUAGAGGCAGCUGCUGUGGUUGACGUAGAAGUUACAGUUGUUGUAUCAGGAGCUGUAGUUGUGAUUGUUGUAGUAAGUACAGCAGGUGAAGUGGUCGUAGGAGCUACAGUUGUAGGAACUGCAGGUGUUGUAGUAGUUGCUGUUGUUGUGGUUGUCGUAGGAGCUGAAGUUGUAGUUGUUGUAGCAGGAGCUGCAGUUGUUGUAGUUAGGGCUGCAGUGGUUGUCGUAGAUGCUAAAGCUGUUGUAGGAGCUGCAGUUGUCGUGGGAGCUACAGUUGUUGGAGGUGCUGUUGUUGUGGUUGUCGUAGGAGCUGAAGUUGUAGUUGUUGUAGCAGGAGCUGCAGAUGUUGUAGUUAGGGCUGCAGUGGUUGAAGUAGAUGCUAAAGCUGUUGUAGGAGCUGCAGUUAUCGUGGGAGCUACAGUUGUUGGAGGUGCUGUUGUUGUGGUUGUCGUAGGAGCUGAAGUUGUAGUUGUUGUAGCAGGAGCUGCAGUGGUUGUCGUAAUAGGUUCUAGAGUUGUAGUGGUCGGUGGAGCAGCAAUUGUUGUUGUUAGAGCUGUUGUGGUUGUCGUAGAGGCAGCUGCUGUGGUUGACAUAGAAGUUACAGUUGUUGUAUCAGGAGAUGUAGUUGUGAUUGUUGUAGUAAGUACAGCAGGUGGAGUGGUCGUGGGAGCUACAGUUGUAGGAACUGCAGGUGUUGUAGUAGGUGCUGUUGUUGUGGUUGUCGUAGGAGCUGAAGUUGUAGUUAUUGUAGAAGGUGCUGCAGUCACUGUGGUCGUUAGAACAGCAGUUGUUGUAGUAGGAGCUGCACUGGUUGUCGUAGUAGGUUGUGGAGUUGCCGUGGUCGUAGGAGCAGCAGCUGUUGUAGUUAGGGCUGCAGUGGUUGUCUUAGCUGCUAAACCUGUUGUUGGAGCUGCAGUUGUCGUGGGAGCUUCAGUUGUUGUAGGUGCUGUUGUUGGGGUUGUCAUAGGUACUGAAGUUGUAGUUGUUGUAGCAGGAGCUGCAGUGGUUGUCGUAAUAGGUUCUGGAGUUACAGUGGUUGUUGGAGCAGCAGUUGUUGUAGUUAGGGCUGCAGUGGUUGAAGUAGAUGCUAAAGCUGUUGUAGGAGCUGCAGUUAUCGUGGGAGCAACAGUUGUUGGAGGUGCUGUUGUUGUGGUUGUCGUAGGAGCUGAAGUUGUAGUUUUUGUAGCAGGAGCUGCAGUGGUUGUCGUAAUAGGUUCUAGAGUUGUAGCGGUCGUUGGAGCAGCAAUUGUUGUUGUUAGAGGUGUUGUGGUUGUCGUAGAGGCAGCUGAUGUGGUUGACGUAGAAGUUACAGUUGUUGUAUCAGGAGCUGUAGUUGUGAUUGUUGUAGUAAGUACUGCAGGUGCUGUGGUCGUGGGAGAUACAGUUGUAACAACUGCAGGUGUUGUAGUAGGUGCUGUUGUUGUGGUUGUCGUAGGAGCUGAAGUUGUAGUUAUUGUAGAAGGUGCUGCAGUCACUGUGGUCAUUAGAACAGCAGUUGUUGUAGUAGGAGCCGCACUGGUUGUCGUAGUAGGUUGUGGAAUUUCCGUGGUCGUAGGAGCAGCAGCUGUUGUAGUUAGGGUUGCAGUGGUUGUCUUAGCUGCUAAAGCUGUUGUUGGAGCUGUAGUUGUCGUGGGAGCUACAGUUGUUGGAGGUGCUGUUGUUGUGGUUGUCGUAGUAGCUGAAGUUGUAGUUGUUGUAGCAGAAGCUGCAGUGGUUGUCGUAAUAGGUUUUGGAGUUGUAGUGGUCGUUGGAGCAGCAGUUGUUGUAGUUAGAGCUGCAGUGGUUGUUGUAGAGGCAGCUGCUGUGGUUGACGUAGAAGUUAAAGUUGUUGUAUCAGGAGCUGUAGUUGUGAUUGUUGUAGUAAGUACAGCAGGUGGAGUGGUCGUGGGAGCUACGGUUGUAGGAACUGCAGGUGUUGUAGUAGGUGCUGUUGUUGUGGUUGUCGUAGGAGCUGAAGUUGUAGUUGUUGUAGAAGGUGCUGCAGUCACUGUGGUCGUUAGAACAGCAGUUGUUGUAGUCGGAGCAGCACUGGUUGUCGUUGUAGGUUGUGGAGUUACAGUGGUCGUAGGAGCAGCAGUUGUUGGAGGUGCUGUUGUUGUGGUUGUCGUGGCAGCUGAAGUUGUAGUUGUUGUAGCAGGAGCUGCAGUGGUUGUCGUAAUAGGUUCUGGAGCUGUAGUGAUAGUAGGAGCAGCAGUUGUUGUUGUUAGGGCUGCAGUGGUUGUCGUUGAUGCUAAAGCUGUUGUAGGAGCUGCAGUUGUCGUGGGAGCUACAGUUGUUGGAGGUGCUGUUGUUGUGGUUGUCGUAGGAGCUGAAGUUGUAGUUGUUGUAGAUGGUGUUGCAGUCGUUGUUGUCGUAAGAGCUGCAGUUGUUGUAGUAGGAGCUGUACUGGUUGUCGUAGUAGGUUCUGGAGUUGUAGUGGUCGUAGGAGCAGCAGUUGUUGUAGUCAGAGCUUCAGUUGUCGUAGGAGCUGCAGUUGUCAUGGGAGCUACAGUUGUUGUAGGUGCUGUCAUUGUGGUUGUCGUAGGAGCUGAAGUUGUUGUAGUAGGAGCUGCACUGGUUGUCGUGGUAGGUUCUGCAGUCGUAGCAGUCGUAGGAGUAGGUUCUGUCGUAGUAGGUUUUGGAGUUGUAGUGGUCGUAGGAGCAGCAGUUGUUGUCGUCAGAGCUUCAGUUGUCGUAGGAGCUGCAGGUGGCCUGGGAGCUACAGUGGUCAUUGUAGGUGUUACCUUUGUAGUGUCCGUAGGAGCUACAGUUGUAGUCGGGUCUAUAGUUGUAGUCGUAGUAGGAGCUAUAUUAAUUGCUGUAGGAGUUACAGUUGUUGCUGUAGUUUCUGCUGUUGUAGUGGUCAUAGGAGCUACAGUUGUAUUAGGAACUGCAGUUGUGGUUGUUGUAUUAGGUACUGCAGUUGUAGUUGUCGUUGGAGCUGCAGUUGUCGUUGGAGCUACAGUUGUCGAUGGAGCAACAGUUGUUGCCGUAGGAGCUGCAGUUGUUUUUGUCGUAAUAAGAUCUGCAGUUGCAGGAGAUGCAGUUGUGGAAGAUGCGGUUGUCGAAGAAACUCCAUGUAUAAUCCAACAUAAGAACACUGUGGUUUGUGAGAUGAAGGGUUAAAAUGUUUAUUGCGCACACUAUCAAUAUUUCCAAGA
rnacentral:lncRNA from 13 species